rnacentral:rRNA from 1 species
AUACGGAGGGUCCGAGCGUUAUCCGGAAUUAUUGGGUUUAAAGGGUCCGUAGACGGGCCAUUAAGUCAGGGGUGAAAGUCUGCGGCUCAACCGUAGAAUUGCCUUUGAUACUGAUGGUCUUGAGUUAUGGUGAAGUUGGCGGAAUAUGUAGUGUAGCGGUGAAAUGCAUAGAUAUUACAUAGAACACCGAUUGCGAAGGCAGCUGACUAACUAUAUACUGACGCUGAGGGACGAAAGCGUGGGGAGCGAACAGGAUUAGAAACCCUAGUAGUCC